GCAAUAAAUACCGUCAUAAUAUUUGAUCCAAGCAACGAGCCAAGCAAGUCGAACUGUCGAAAUCAUGAUAUAUAAAACGACAACAAACUAGAAUAUUUACUACACUACAGGCUACAAGAAGGUAUGAAAUGAAUAUUGUUAUAAAUGUAUCGAUGUAUUCAGAGGGUAUCAAUAUUGACUCAUUUAGCUAAUAUUGAUUUAAUCGCCAAAGCAAGUACUAUGGCUUUGUAUGGGAGAACAAUCCUUCCAUUGUGUAAUCUAUAUUUGUGCUAUUAUCAAUAUAGACUAUAGUAAAUACUGUCCAGACAAACCCUGAUUAUACAUGUUGCUGAAUCCCCUGACUACAUAAAAAUGAGGACACAUGUUUCUCAUAGUUAUACCUCUGAGAAAUUGGAAGCUUAGAGGCCGAUUACAUGGAGCACUUUCAACCCCGGGGUUGAAGUCAGCCCUGUUAACCAGGUUGAAUUUUUUUUGCGAUUACAUGGAUGAUUUCAACCCCAAGGUUGAAAUGCUCUACGUUCUCGGGCAUUGAUUCCCAGAAGUAAAAAAGCCUUCAUUUUGUUUUCUUGUAAUAAAUAGUCACUACCACACAUCUUCGAAUAACUCAUGAAUAAUUUCAGCCCUAUGUUGAUUGUUGAAACAAUUACAUGACAAAAUUAUCAACCGGGGGUUGAAAUUUCAACCAUGCUAGCUGCGUUGAAAAUUUUGUCAUGUAAUUGCGCAUUUGAUUUUGAUAGAGUUUUGUAUUGAACCCGGUCAACAGAGUUCAACCCCGGUGUUGAAAAUGCUUCAUUUAAUCGGCCCCUUAUAAAACACUAAUCCCUGAGGAAAUUAUAGUGUGCCCCUCAAAUCCUAAGUAACUGUUUAUGAAUCAAGUUGUAUGAACAUUAAUAUUGAACCGAGGCAGCCCAGAUAGCAGAAAUAGGCCUAAAAAUACCUGUGGUUCUGGUUUCCCAACCGACCGUACUUUUUUUCUGCCAACCCUAUUAUUUUUUCGAUGCGGCUAAACAUGCAGCCCUAUUUUCUCUGUGUGGUUGUGGGCUGCUCAUACAAGUACAGCAUGCCAAAAUGGCAUCUGUUGUCACAAUAAUUAUUGAUUAGUGAUUUUUGAAAAAGUGUUACCUGAAUUGAUAGUUCAGCCAGACUUUCUGCCCAAAUCUCAAAUAUUUUACUCUGGCACAUCCCCCACAAAAAAUUUGGUUAAAAAAAUACCACCGGUCGCAGUAAACGCAAGGGUGGAUUUUCAUUUAUUUAAAAGGAGGGGUAGAAAAAUUUCUGGUGGGGUGCAAGCGGCAGUACUCAGUGAGCUUCGGCAGGGUUAGGCGUUUGGGUUAUAGCCUUUCAUGCAAAAUAGGAGGGGUGAAGCAAAAUUUUGAUGGGAUUGAACUCCCCCCCCCUAACCCCCCCCCCAGUAAAUCCGCCCAUGAGUAAACGACUUAACUCCUUAAAUUAACAGUAAUGCUUAUUAAUUCCAAUAUUCUGCAGUUGGUGACGUAUUCGUUUAUCUUAUAUUUAUUUGAUGGCUUAUCCAUGCAGGGUUUCCAUUUAGUUACUAGGAAUUUGCCAUAUUAUGUGAUGAUUGGAAUGUGUGAAUUCAGUAAAAAAGUGAUUUUGAGAAAAAUAGUCGGUUUUCUGACCUAAAUAAUAUUCCCCUUCAUCAUUUCACCUGAGAUAUGCCCAAACAUAUAAAUUUACGGGGGAAAACACAAUAAAAUUCUUACAACAAUGUCAAUGUAUUUAUUCUAAUUUCAGAGCGGAUUCGCCAACAAACCAAGAAAAAAUUAAAAGUAUCGCCAAAGAAGUUUAUUUAACUGAAAAAAGCUUGGACAAAAAACUGCCUAUAAUACAGCCAAUGGUUUUUUGUACCUAUACCGCAAUUCUUAAUAUUUAAUCUAGGCUACAUUCUUUUGGAAUGUGCGUCACUCUGGGUAUAGUGCCUCCCUUUCAUGAUUGAGAUAUAAAGCUUUAACUAGUAAUUUCAAGAACAUGAAGACAAGGCUAUGUACGGUCAAAAAUGAUGUACUUUCCACAAAAGAAGUUCUAAUUUGAUAUCAUUCACAUCACCAAUGAUUGAAAUAUUUUAUAUGUAGCAUUCAUUUCAGUGCAUCAUAUACUUUCUUCAUGAAAUAUAUGAAAAUAUAACACUUGCAAAUAUAAUUUUGAUAAAAUGCAUGAACUUUUUUUCUCCAAAUUUACCUCAGUUAAUGAACCUUUUUCUCUUAAUUUAUUACAUAAAGCAGAUUAAUAUAUACCAUUAUAUAAAGUAGAUUAUAGCUCUGUACCACACCGAAUCAUAUUAAUAAUUAUAAAAUUGUAUAUCGGGCAAUCUUAUUCGUAUGCAAACAUAUCUAGGCUACCAUUGUAUCAAGUAAAUUUAAAAUUUACUAAGUGUAUCUGUUUUUAUAUUUAUACAAUUAUGUUAACUAAAAUUGGCUCGUGUCCUACCACUGCAUCAAGUAAAUUUAAAAUUCACUAAGUGUAUAUGUUUUUAUAUUUAUACAAUUAAGUUAACUAAAAUUGUAAUGGAACAAUCUGGCUCGUGCCCUGAUGUGUCGUCUGAAUGCACACAGAUUUACCAUUGCAUAAAGUAAAUUUAAAAUGCUCUGAGUGUAUAUGUUUUUAUAUUUAUCCAAUUAUAUGUUCGAGAUUAAGUUAACUAAAAUUGUAAUGGAACAAUCUGGCUCGUGUCCUGAUGUGUCGUCUGAAUGCACACAGAUUUACCAUUGCAUAAAGUAAAUUUAAAAUGCUCUGAGUGUAUAUGUUUUUAUAUUUAUCCAAUUAUAAGUUCGAGAUUAAGUUAACUAAAAUUGUAAUGGAACAAUCUGGCCCGUGUCCUGAUGUGUCGUCUGAAUGCACACAGAUUUACCGUUGCAUAACGUGUUUCUAAACUAUUAUUUUCUAAAGCAAAGACGCUAUAUGUGUCUUGAAAUAUAUGGAACAAUUCAAACAUAACCAACUUGUGAUGGUACUAAUCUGGCUCGUGUCCUGAUGUGUCGUCUGAAUGCACACAGGUUGGCCAUUGCAUAACGUAUUUCUAAACUAUUAUUUUCUAAAGCAAAGACGCUAUAUGUGUCUUGAAAUAAAUGGAACAAUUCAAACAUAACCAACUUGUGAUGGUACUAAUCUGGCUCGUGUCCUGAUGUGUCGUCUGAAUGCACACAGGUUGGCCAUUGCAUAACAUAUUUCUAAACUAUUAUUUUCUAAAACAAAGGCGUUUAUAUGUGUCUAAAAAUAAAUGGAACAAUUCAAACAUAACCAACUUUUGAUGGUACCAAUCUGGCUCGUGUCCUGAUGUGUCGUCUGCAUGAAUGCACACACAUUUACCUUUGCUUAAAGUAAAUUUAGAAUACACGAAGUAUAGGUUUUUAUAUUUAUCCAAUUAUAAGUUCGAGAUUAAGUUAACUAAAAUUGUAAUCGAACAAUCUGGCUCGUGUCGUCUGAAUGCACACAGGUUGGCCAUUGCAUAACAUAUUUCUAAACUAUUAGUUUCUAAAGCAAUGACGUCUAUAUGCGUCUUGAGUUAUAUGAAACAAUUCAAACAUAACCAACUUGUGACGGUACUAAUCUGGCUCGUGUCCUGAUGUGUCGUCUGAAUGCACACAGGUUGGCCAUUGCAUGACGUAUUUCUAAACUAUUAGUUUCUAAAGCAAAGACGUCUAUAUGUGUCUUGAAAUAAAUGGAACAAUUCAAACAUAACCAACUUGUGAUGGUACCAAUCUGGCUCGUGUCCUGAUGUGUCGUCUGAAUGCACACAGAUUUACCAUUGCAUAACGUAUUUCUAAACUAUUAUUUUCUAAAGCAAAGACGCUAUAUGCGUCUUGAAAUAUAUGGAACAAUUCAAACAUAACCAACUUGUGAUGGUACUAAUCUGGCUCGUGUCCUGAUGUGUCGUCUGAAUGCACACAGGUUGGCCAUUGCAUAACGUAUUUCUAAACUAUUCUUUUCUAAAGCAAAGACGCAUAUGUGUCUUGAAAUAUAUGGAACAAUUCGAACAUAACCAACUUGUGAUGGUACUAAUCUGGCUCGUGUCCUGAUGUGUCGUCUGAAUGCACACAGAUUUACCAUUGCAUAACGUAUUUCUAAACUAUUCUUUUCUAAAGCAAAGACGUCUAUAUGCGUCUUGAAUUAUAUGGAACAAUUCAAACAUAACCAACUUGUGAUGGUACCAAUCUGGCUCGUGUCCUGAUGUGUCGUCUGAAUGCACACAUAUUUACCAUUGCAUAAAGUAAAUUUAAAAUGCCCUAAAUGUAUAUGUUUUUAUAUUUAUCCAAUUAUAAGUUCGAGAUUAAGUUAACUAAAAUUGUAAUGGAACAAUCUGGCUCGUGUCCUGGUGUGUCGUCUGAAUGCACACAGAUUGGCCAUUGCAUAACGUAUUUCUAAACCAUUAUUUUCUAAAGCAAAGACGUCUAUAUGCGUCUUGAAUUAUGUGGAACAAUUCAAACAUACAUGUUUCGCUCGCUACUCUGGUUUAAAUAAAUGAUUACAAAGCCCAGUCGAAUUGUAAUCAAGACCCAACGUUUCGACACUCCAGUCUAGUGUCUUCAUCAGGGGUGAUCUAAAACUGCGAUCGUAGCUUCUUAAAUACCCAAGGGAUGACGUCAUAACCAACUUGUGAUGGUACUAAUCUGGCUCGUGUCCUGAUGUGUCGUCUGAAUUAAGUUAGCUAAAAUUGUAAUGGAACAAUCUGGCUCGUGUCCUGAUGUGUCGUCUGAAUAAACACAUGUUGGCCAUUGCAUAGCGUAUUUCUAAACCAUUAUUUUCUAAAGCAAUGACGUCUAUAUAUAUAUGCGUCUUGAAUUAUAUGGAACAAUUCAAACAUAACCAACUUGUGAUGGUGCUAAUCUGGCUCAUGUCCUGAUGUGUCGUCUGGAUGCACACAUGUUGGCCAUUGCAUAGCCGCCAUAGCAUAUUUCUAAACCAUUUUCUAAAGCAAAGACGUCUAUAUGUGUCUUGAAAUAUUUGGAACAAUUCAAACAUAACCAACUUGUGAUGGUACCAAUCUGGCUCAUGUCCUGAUGUGUCGUCUGAAUGUACACAGAUUUACCAUUGCAAUAAAGUAAAUUUAAAAUUCACUAAGUGUAUAUACUUUUUAUAAUUGUACAAUUAAUUAAGUUAACUAAAAUUGUGAUGGGGCCAUCUAUCUCGUAUCCUGAUGUUGGUCAUUGAUACUGGCUUGUGUGGUGAGAUGUGGUUCGAAUGACCAGACUAUGUAUUGCAAAACGUCUUUUUUCGAAAAUUUAUUUUUGUAUGAUUGCAGAAGCUGUUAAAAUUCAUUUUCAAUCGCGGACGAAGUUGGCACGCAAUCCAAUUACACCAAGAAAGAAACUCAGGAUGUGUAUGCGAAGUAGGAGAGAAGGGU
rnacentral:lncRNA from 1 species